AUGGGGACUAGCCCGGGUGGCCCGGCGUCACCUGUGACCCGAAACCGUCGAUAUGCGGGGGGCGAAGUUCGAAGAAGGCUGCAACGGGCUGUUUGCUGCAGGAGCAGUCCGACGUUGAAACCUCGUCCCAUGAGGUCGGUGGACAAGGAUCAAGAUCCCGGAGGGGAUGGCGACUUGCUGGUGUGGGGAACGGUCCAGGCCCGGAAGGGAGCAGACCCACCGUACACAUUCGGCGCCCAUGGGGUAGCGGGGCGGAGGAGGAGUGCUUCUUUGGCGGCGGUCACGUACAGUCGACCGAGAACACGUCCCCAU
rnacentral:SRP_RNA from 1 species